rnacentral:rRNA from 1 species
AUUGAACGCUGGCGGCAGGCCUAACAAAUGCAAGUCGAGCGGAUGAAGGGAGCUGGCUCCGGGAUUCAGCGGCGGACGGGUGAGUAAUGCCUAGGAAUCUGCCUUGUAGUGGGGGAUAACGUCGGGAAACGGGCGCUAAUACCGCAUACGUCCUGAGGGAGAAAGUGGGGGAUCUUCGGACCUCACGCUAUCAGAUGAGCCUAGGUCGGAUUAGCUAGUUGGUGGGGUAAAGGCCUACCAAGGCGACGAUCCGUAACUGGUCUGAGAGGAUGAUCAGUCACACUGGAACUGAGACACGGUCCAGACUCCUACGGGCGGCAGCAGUGGGGAAUAUUGGACACUGGGCGAAAGCCUGCUCCAGCCAUGCCGCGUGUGUGAAGAAGGUCUUCGGAUUGUAAAGCACUUUAAGUUGGGAGGAAGGUCAGUAAGUUAAUACAUUGCUGUUUUGACGUUACCAACAGAAUAAGCACCGGCUAGCUUCGUG